rnacentral:rRNA from 1 species
GUCCUAGCCGUAAACGAUGGACACUAGGUGUUGGUGGUAUCAACCCCGCCAGUGCCGAAGCUAACGCAUUAAGUGUCCCGCCUGGGGAGUACGGCCGCAAGGCUAAAACUCAAAGGAAUUGACGGGGCCCGCACAAGCAGCGGAGCGUGGGGUUUAAUUCGACGCGACGCGAAGAACCUUACCAGGACUUGACAUGGUCAGGACACCGGCGGAAACGUCGGCUCCCCGCAAGGGGCCUGAUCACAGGUGUUGCAUGGCUGUCGU